AGUCCACAUCGACGGGGAGGUUUGGCACCUCGAUGUCGGCUCAUCACAUCCUGGGGCUGUAGUAGGUCCCAAGGGUUGGGCUGUUCGCCCAUUAAAGUGGUACGCGGGCUGGGUUCAGAACGUCGUGAGACAGUUCGGUCCCUAUCCGUCGCAGGCGUAGGAAAUUUGAGAAGACCUGUCCUUAGUACGAGAGGACCGGGAUGGACGUACCUCUGGUGUACCAGUUGUCCUGCCAAGGGCAUGGCUGGGUAGCUAUGUACGGAAUGGAUAAGCGCUGAAAGCAUCUAAGCGCGAAGCCAACUUCAAGAUAAGAUUUCCCACCGCAAGGGUAAGACCCCAGAAAGACUAUCUGGUUGAUAGGUCGAAGGUGUAAGUGCAGCAAUGUAUUUAGCUUAUCGAUACUAAUAGGUCGAGGACUUGACCAAU
rnacentral:rRNA from 1 species